CCUACGGGUGGCAGCAGUGAGGAAUAUUGGUCAAUGGGCGCUAGCCUGAACCAGCCAAGUAGCGUGAAGGAUGACGGCCCUAUGGGUUGUAAACUUCUUUUAUAUGGGAAUAAAGUGCAUUAUGUAUACUGCUUUGCAUGUACCUUAUGAAUAAGGACCGGCUAAUUCCGUGCCAGCAGCCGCGGUAAUACGGAGGAUCCGAGCGUUAUCCGGAUUUAUUGGGUUUAAAGGGAGCGUAGGCGGGUUGUCAAGUGAGAUGUGAAAGUUUCUGGCUGAACCGUAGAAUUGCAGUUGAUACUGGCAUGCUUGAGUACGGGAGAGGGAGGCGGAAUGCGUGGUGUAGCGGUGAAAUGCUUAGAUAUCACGAAGAACACCGAUUGCGAAGGCAGCCUGCUGGACUGUAACUGACGCUGAUGCUCGAAAGUGUGGGUAUCAAACAGGAUUAGAUACCCGAGUAGUC
rnacentral:rRNA from 1 species